rnacentral:lncRNA from 10 species
UGUGAGCCACUGCACCCAGCCUCCUCCCCUCUUUCUCCCACCCUCUUCUUACUCCCAUUCCCCUCUCCCCAUCCAUUCCUGCGUCCCACUGGCUCACCUUGAGUUGAAUGCAGUACCCCUCCAACUCUUCUGCCUCUUGCCGCCUUCUCUCCAGAUUCUCGCUCAGCACAGAACACUCGCUCUGGAGCAUGGAAGGAGGAGAGGUUAGCCAAGGACACGAGGGGACAGCCUGUGGAAAAGAAGAUCUGGGCCUGGGAAGGUUCCUUUUCUUUCUGAGCCUCAAGCUCCCCAACUGAGCUAUGGGUGCAUUCUGCUGGAGGCAGGCUCCAAGAAGGGAACUUGGCCCUGGAGGAAGGGCAGGUGUUGGAUAUAGGGGGUCCUCACACCUGCAGAGACUGCACGUGCUGGUUAACCCGGUUGGUCUUUUCCUUCAAGCUGGUGAUGGAGUCUUUGGCGCGGACCAAUCCACUGUUGACCCCACUCUGGGGAAGAAUGGGAGACAGGGCUGUCUUGGACCAGCAGAUAGAGGACACAAUGAAACAGAAGAAGCCUGAAUCCUUGACAUGGAGCCACCAUACUCCAUUCCAACCACCUGUGAAGACUUUCAGGAGUCUUGCUCUUUUGUCAGGCUGGAGUGCAGUGGCAUGAUCUCGGCUCACUGCAACCUCUCACUCCCAGGUUCAAGCCAUUCUCCUGCUUCAGCCUCCCGAAUAGCUGGGACUACGGGCGUGCACCACCACACCAGGCUAAUUUUUUGUAUUUUAGUAGAGACAGG